rnacentral:rRNA from 1 species
GUGAAAGCCCCGGGCUCAACCUGGGAACGGCAUCCGGAACGGCCAGGCUAGAGUGCAGGAGAGGAAGGUAGAAUUCCCGGUGUAGCGGUGAAAUGCGUAGAGAUCGGGAGGAAUACCAGUGGCGAAGGCGGCCUUCUGGCCUGACACUGACACUGAGGUGCGAAAGCGUGGGUAGCAAACAGGAUUAGAUACCCUGGUAGUCCACGCCGUAAACGAUGUCGACUAGCCGUUGGGACCUUUAAGGACUUAGUGGCGCAGUUAACGCGAUAAGUCGACCGCCUGGGGAGUACGGCCGCAAGGUUAAAACUCAAAUGAAUUGACGGGGGCCCGCACAAGCGGUGGAGCAUGUGGUUUAAUUCGAUGCAACGCGAAGAACCUUACCUACCCUUGACAUCCAGAGAAGUUGGCAGAGAUGCCUUCGUGCCUUCGGGAACUCUGAGACAGGUGCUGCAUGGCUGUCGUCAGCUCGUGUUGUGAAAUGUUGGGUUAAGUCCCGUAACGAGCGCAACCCUUGUCCUUAUUUGCCAGCGAGUNNUGUCGGGAACUCUAAGGAGACUGCCGGUGACAAACCGGAGGAAGGUGGGGACGACGUCAAGUCAUCAUGGNCCUUACGGGUAGGGCUACACACGUGCUACAAUGGCCGGUACAAAGGGUUGCGAGACCGCGAGGUGGAGCGAAUCCCAGAAAGCC